CGUGCGAAGGGGCUAUCUCGAGUGCCACCUGAUGAAGGUGGCUUUUCCUAGGUCUAAAAAGCCUUGGGAAUAAGAGGGGGGCAAGACUGGUGUCAGCCGCCGCGGUAACACCAGCCCCUCGAGUGGUGGGGAUGAUUAUUGGGCCUAAAGCGUCCGUAGCCUGCCGUAUAAGUUUCCCGUUAAAUCCAGCGUCUCAAGCGUUGGACUGCGGGAAAUACUGUACGGCUAGAGAGUGGGAGAGGUCAGCGGUAUUCUGGGGGUAGGGGCGAGAUCCUUUGAUCCCCGGAGGACCACCAGUGGCGAAGGCUGCUGACUAGAACACGUCUGACGGUCAGGGACGAAAGCUGGGGUAGCGAACCGGAUUAGAUACCCGGGUAGUCCCAGCCGUAAACGAUGCAUGCUAGGUGUUGGGUUGGCCACGAGCCACCCCAGUGCCGCAGGGAAGCCGUUAAGCAUGCCGCCUG
rnacentral:rRNA from 1 species